rnacentral:rRNA from 1 species
AUUGAACGCUGGCGGCAUGCCUUACACAUGCAAGUCGAACGGCAGCACGGGGCAACCUGGUGGCGAGUGGCGAACGGGUGAGUAAUGCAUCGGAACGUGCCAUUGAGUGGGGGAUAACGUAGCGAAAGUUGCGCUAAUACCGCAUAUUCUGUGAGCAGGAAAGCAGGGGACCGCAAGGCCUUGCGCUCUUUGAGCGGCCGAUGUCAGAUUAGCUAGUUGGUGAGGUAACGGCUUACCAAGGCGACGAUCUGUAGCGGGUCUGAGAGGAUGAUCCGCCACACUGGAACUGAGACACGGUCCAGACUCCUACGGGAGGCGGCAGUGGGGAAUUUGGACAAUGGGCGCAAGCCUGAUCCAGCCAUGCCGCGUGGGUGAAGAAGGCCUCGGUUGUAAG